rnacentral:tRNA from 1 species
GGCUGGGUAGCUCAGGUGGUUAGAGCGGGCGUUUCAUAAGCGCCAGGUCGUGAGUUCAAGUCUCACCCCAGUCACCA